GGGCCUAUAGCUCAGUUGGUUAGAGCAGGGGACUCAUAAUCCUUUGGUCCACGGUUCAAGUCCGUGUGGGCCCACCA
rnacentral:tRNA from 6 species